rnacentral:rRNA from 1 species
UACGGAGGGGGCUAGCGUUGUUCGGAAUUACUGGGCGUAAAGCGCACGUAGGCGGCUAUGCAAGUUAGAGGUGAAAGCCCGGGGCUCAACUCCGGAAUUGCCUUUAAAACUGCAUCGCUAGAAUUGUGGAGAGGUAAGUGGAAUUCCGAGUGUAGAGGUGAAAUUCGUAGAUAUUCGGAAGAACACCAGUGGCGAAGGCGACUUACUGGACACAUAUUGACGCUGAGGUGCGAAAGCGUGGGGAGCAAACAGG